rnacentral:rRNA from 1 species
GACGUAGGGCGCGAGCGUUGUCCGGAUUUAUUGGGCGUAAAGAGCUCGUAGGCGGCUUGUCGCGUCGUCCGUGAAAACCUGCGGCUCAACUGCAGGCUGGCGGUCGAUACGGGCAUCACUGGAGUUCGGCAGGGGAGACUGGAAUUCCUGGUGUAGCGGUGAAAUGCGCAGAUAUCAGGAGGAACACCGGUGGCGAAGGCGGGUCUCUGGGCCGAUACUGACGCUGAGGAGCGAAAGCGUGGGGAGCGAACAGG